AAGUAACAAACACAGCGUAAAUAUAAAAUUGAAUACCAAACCAAUAAUUAAAAAAUAUUCUUAUUAUUAUUAGAUGAGGGCAGAUAUGACUCUCAUUCAAUAACAAAUAGAAAGCACAUGAUUAACAGAAUAUGCACAGACAUCAACAAAUGAAUAGAAAAAAUGGAAAAUAUACUGGACAAUCGCAAAUUAUUGUCUACGUGAAUUAAUGUAGCACUCAUUUUCAUUUACACCUCAGUACUAGAGGCAAAAAUGUAUGAAAUUAUGAUCCAAAUAAGAAAAACCAAACCGUGUAUUUAUUAAGAAAAAUUGUCAGGUGAUUAUUGUUUUUUAAUAAGGAUUGACAUUUUGGAUUGUUUCGUCAAUAACCACGAAAUGUGAAAAUUUUGGGUGAACCAAUUGGAAGUACCUGAAAUGUGUUAGUAAUCCCAAGAAAUACUUUAUUACAAAAAAAUGUAUUUUUUUAUAUAUCAAAAAAAAAAAAACAGGUAGCGAUUGCGCUUUGCUUUCAUCACGUAUGUGUCUCUUUCUUUGGCAAUUGUUUCAUAAUUGUUGUUGGUUUCUUGAUAGAACAUUUUUGUAUGACAUCCUAUUAUACAUCCCCUUUUAUUGGUCAUUACAUGUUAUGACGAUGGGUUGGAGUGUGACCGACAUGACGAGCAUUUAGUUGGAUGUCACGUACUGUUAUGUGUUUGAUCAAACAGGACACAAUAUGACAAGCGUUUACUCUCCAUUGCAAAAAUAGAGAAAAUUGUCACAUUUGCAGCCCUUUAGCGAAGAUAUAGUGGGGGAGGUUUUUGGGAUCUAACCGGUUGUAUCAUUUCAUCAGUCUUGCUAUUCGAGCCGAGAAUUGAGAAUCUGUUGUUGCUGUCAUUGUUUAUAGACUUUUGGGUUUUAGCAUUUGGUUCCUUGGUUGGAGUUCUAGAACUAGCCUUUCGCUUUGUUACUAAGAUAUGUCGGUCUAUGUCUGGAGGAACUUUGUUUUGCUUCUUGUUUUUUCAAAGAGACGCAUGCUUACUUGAAGCGAUAGUUUCUUGAUGUAUCGUGUAAUAGCACCUUUAUAGAAUUUAUUUUGGGCGUGUUUACAUUGUUUUGUUUAUAUGACUAUUUCUCUUGUUUCGUUGGGAGCAAGGUAGAUGUACUAGGUAAUCGCAUCAGCCCAGCUGACGGCACCAUUAAAUGUCAAAACAAAUUGUUGUAAUGAAGAAUUCGCCCUAAAUGAAUGCAACAACAAAUUUGUUUAUGUUGUCUUCUCUAAAAAAUUUCAAAUAAUUUAAGAGCAAGUUUAGAGUGAAACCAGUAAAAAAAUUAAAAGAAAAUGAAGGAAGGAGGUUAGAAUGGAGUGCAGCUUUAAGAAUUAAGUUAGCCUCAAUAUCUAAGAUUCCCAAAGCACGUCACGGGAAGUAGUGCAAGAAUUCGACUCUUGUCGUUUGCAGUUCCGGAAAACUUUCGGUUUAAACCAGUAAAAUAUAGUCAUUAUAAGUUUCUUGGUUUAAAAAUAUCGCAAUACUACAAUUAAUACUUAUUUUACUCUUAUUUGUUUUACAAUAAAAACUUUUAUUGCGACGUUCAUUUACGACGAGAGGCACACAAAAUAAAAUGUAAACAAACACCUCGUUUCUGAUUGGUUGAAAAAAUUUGCCGCGACCUUUAAAUGUCAUGGCGAAUCUAUGUUUUUCGCCUUAGAUGCCAAUUUUGACAUUUGAGGGGACCACAAAGGUUGCUUUGUUGUAGCAAUUCGCCGAUGCGGUUACCUGUUAGAUCUACCUUGGUUGGGAGCAUGGCCCAAUUAUAAGGUCGACAAGUAAGACCAGCUGAUACCUAUAUUUUCUGUCAACAUAAUUUGAAUUCGCCUGACAACUAUAAAAGAUGUCAAUAAUUAAUUGUCCGUAAUUUUUAUCAGUUUAUUUUGUCAAAUUUUAAAAACAAAUAGAAAGAGAUGAAAACGCGAGAGAAAAGUGGAGUCAAAUGUGCCAAAUCAAAUUUGCAGUUAUAUCAAAAGUUUGCAUAGACCAUUUUAAUAAGGCAUAUGUGAUGCAGUCGGUCAAUGGCUAUGCCAGAGCUAGGACCACAACAAUUGAACCUUAUCCGAACAGCUACGGAGUUGGUACACCAAUCAUGUCUCUGCAUUUCAUGAUGUAGCGAUAUCCGUCUGUAUGACGAUAAAAAAGAGAACACCUAUUCCGUGAAAAAAAUUGACAGGAAAUAAAAAUAAAACAAAUUUAAAAACAAAAAUAA